CCCUUAGAUGUUCUGGGCCGCACGCGCGCUACACUGAUGCAUUCAACGAGUCUAAAACCUGCUCUGAUAGGGGUGGGUAAUCUUUUGAAUGUGCAUCGUGAUUGGGAUAGAUGAUUGCAAUUUUUCAUCUUCAACGAGGAAUGCCUAGUAAACGCAAGUCAUCAGCUUGCAUUGAUUACGUCCCUGCCCUUUGUACACACCGCCCGUCGCUCCUGCCGAUUGAAUGAUCCGAUGAAUAUCAUGGAUUGAGGAUGCAAGUAGGUUCGCCUAUCUUCAUCUUCGAGAAGUGAAGUAAAUCUUAUCAUUUAGAGGAAGGAGAAGUCGUAACA
rnacentral:rRNA from 1 species